AUUGAACGCUGGCGGCAGGCCUAACACAUGCAAGUCGAGCGGAUGAAGGAAGCUUGCUCCUGGAUUCAGCGGCGGACGGGUGAGUAAUGCCUAGGAAUCUGCCUGGUAGUGGGGGAUAACGUCCGGAAACGGGCGCUAAUACCGCAUACGUCCUGAGGGAGAAAGUGGGGGAUCUUCGGACCUCACGCUAUCAGAUGGGCCUAGGUCGGAUUAGCUAGUUGGUGGGGUAAAGGCCUACCAAGGCGACGAUCCGUAACUGGUCUGAGAGGAUGAUCAGUCACACUGGAACUGAGACACGGUCCAGACUCCUACGGGAGGCAGCAGUGGGGAAUAUUGGACAAUGGGCGAAAGCCUGAUCCAGCCAUGCCGCGUGUGUGAAGAAGGUCUUCGGAUUGUAAAGCACUUUAAGUUGGGAGGAAGGGCAGUAAGUUAAUACCUUGCUGUUUUGACGUUACCAACAGAAUAAGCACCGGCUAACUUCGUG
rnacentral:rRNA from 1 species